GCGGUGGGAAAACGGGAUGCGGGCGAGGUUUGAGACAUUUAUAUGGCUCGGAAGGCAAGAUAUCCCGGGAUUUUCGGGAUUGAAUCGGCCAUGGGAGAGUUCGUCUCGGCUGCGUGCGCUGAGGAAGAAGGAAAGGUGGGAGAGGCCGCUGACAGGCGGGACCCGAUCGUCAGCGUAAGAAGAGAGGAGAGGAGGAAGGCGCCUGCUUGGGCCGGAUUGCUGGGCUUGCCGCUGGGUAGCGGGGCCAAGGUGCCGAAGGGAGUGGGGGCUAGGCCGCGCAAGGCUCUGGGCCACCAGGCCGAAGCCGAGAGAGGGUGAGGCAUUGCUUUGUUGUUUUUUUUCUUUUUUUUCUAUUUCAAAGUCAUUUUCAAAUAGAAAUUUGAGUACAACUAAAUUCAAACCA
rnacentral:lncRNA from 1 species